GACGAACGCUGGCGGCGUGCCUAAUACAUGCAAGUAGAACGCUGAAGAGAGGAGCUUGCUCUUCUUGGAUGAGUUGCGAACGGGUGAGUAACGCGUAGGUAACCUGCCUUGUAGCGGGGGAUAACUAUUGGAAACGAUAGCUAAUACCGCAUAACAAUGGAUGACACAUGUCAUUUAUUUGAAAGGGGCAAUUGCUCCACUACAAGAUGGACCUGCGUUGUAUUAGCUAGUAGGUGAGGUAAUGGCUCACCUAGGCGACGAUACAUAGCCGACCUGAGAGGGUGAUCGGCCACACUGGGACUGAGACACGGCCCAGACUCCUACGGGAGGCAGCAGUAGGGAAUCUUCGGCAAUGGGGGCAACCCUGACCGAGCAACGCCGCGUGAGUGAAGAAGGUUUUCGGAUCGUAAAGCUCUGUUGCAAGUCAAGAACGGGUGUGAGAGUGGAAAGUUCACACUGUGACGGUAGCUUACCAGAAAGGGACGGCUAACUACGUG
rnacentral:rRNA from 1 species